rnacentral:rRNA from 1 species
AGAGUUUGAUCCUGGCUCAGGAUGAACGCUAGCGGGAGGCCUAACACAUGCAAGUCGAACGGGAUUGAGAGCUUGCUCUCAUGAGAGUGGCGCACGGGUGAGUAACGCGUAUGCAACCUACCUUUAACAGAGGGAUAGCCCAUAGAAAUGUGGAUUAAUACCUCAUAGUUCUGAGAAGCCGCAUGGUUUUUCAGAUAAAGCUCCGGCGGUUAAAGAUGGGCAUGCGUGACAUUAGCUAGUUGGUAAGGUAACGGCUUACCAAGGCUACGAUGUCUAGGGGUUCUGAGAGGAUGAUCCCCCACACUGGUACUGAGACACGGACCAGACUCCUACGGGAGGCAGCAGUGAGGAAUAUUGGUCAAUGGGCGCAAGCCUGAACCAGCCAUCCCGCGUGAAGGAUGAAGGUCCUAUGGAUUGUAAACUUCUUUUAUACACCAAGAAAAACUCCCACGAGUGGGAGCC